CCUACGGGUGGCUGCAGUGAGGAAUAUUGGUCAAUGGGCGGAAGCCUGAACCAGCCAAGUAGCGUGCAGGAUGACGGCCCUAUGGGUUGUAAACUGCUUUUAUACGGGGAUAAAGUCAGCCACGUGUGGUUGAUUGCAGGUACCGUAUGAAUAAGGACCGGCUAAUUCCGUGCCAGCAGCCGCGGUAAUACGGAAGGUCCGGGCGUUAUCCGGAUUUAUUGGGCGUAAAGCGAGCACAGGCGGCGUCGUAAGUCGGUCUUAAAAGUGCGGGGCUUAACCCCGUGAGGGGACCGAAACUGCGAUGCUAGAGUAUCGGAGAGGAAAGCGGAAUUCCUAGUGUAGCGGUGAAAUGCGUAGAUAUCACAAAGAACCCCGAUUGCGAAGGCAGCUUACCGGAGCGCAACUGACGCUGAAGCUCGAAAGUGCGGGUAUCGAAC
rnacentral:rRNA from 1 species